rnacentral:lncRNA from 1 species
AACCUGAGGAUCCCGAUCCAAGAACAAUCAGAGGACCCUGGCUUCCAGCCCUGUCUGAAGAUUUCUCAGCAAAGGCGAGGGUGCAGAAGGCUCCAAUAAUUUAGGGGAGAGGAAUCGAAGUUCCCUAGGCUCUCCCACGGAGCACCCUCUGCUGACUCUGCAGCCCCGCAGGCCUUCCUCGAACAGUCCAUGACAGGAAGCCAGGCUUCCUGGGGUCCUGAGUCAGCAGAGCAGGAAGGAAACAAAGGCCUCAGAACCGCAGAAGAGAAAGAAGGCAGCCUGAAGACAGAAGGCGACCCUCUGAAGACAGGUCUAGAGACUUAACGUAUGAUGUUCCUGGAGUCCUGUUGCCUCAGGUACCUCUUCAGUAGAAAAAUUCAAUAAGGUUUCUGACACUUUCUACCUAUGGGCCAGUUACAUACAGAAGAGAAAACUGAAACUGAAAACUGGUUUGUCAUUUUUACAGAAAGUCACUGCAAAGAAGGAGAAUUCCAAGUGCAAAUGACUUGAGGUGUUGAAUUGAGAACCAGGCAGAUCCACCACCUACAGUAAAGAUGACCCUAAAGUGAAUUGGUUGAAGAAAUUAGAUCCCAAAGAUUCUUGGUGAAUUUUCAAGUCUUCAUCAGUAUAUCCAUAUUAAAAGGAGAUGACAGAAGCCAAAAUAAAAGAAUUAUGGGCUGACGGGACAACUGGAUUAAAAUAAGCAUCAGUUUCGUUAAAAAGGGCUAACUUGAAGAUAAAUCUUUUGACUCCAGCUCUUUAGAGGAUCUAAAGUGACCCUGAUGGACAGUGGAAAAAAUCACAACAUGGAAUCCCUUGGAUAAAAAUCUAUUGACUUUGAAUAAUUUUGCCUAAUGUUACAUAAUACACAAUUAAAAAAAAAAAAAACCUUGGCCAGGCAUGGUGGCUCACACCUGUAAUCCCAGCACUUUGGGAGGCCGAGGUGGGCAGAUCACAAAGUCAAGAGAUCGAGACCAUCCUGGCCAAUAUGGUGAAACCCUGUCUGUACUAAAAAUAACUUACCUGGGCAUGGUGGCACUCGCCUGUAGUCCCAGCUACUCGGGAGGCUGAGGCAGGAGAGUGGCGUGAACCCAGGAGGCGGAGGUUGCAGUGAGCCGAGAUUGCACCACUGCACUCCAGCCUGGGCGAAAAGAGUGAGACUCCGUCUAAAAAAAAAAGAUUAUAGAUAGGCCAAAGCCAAAACCAGGGGUGCAAAAGGGAAAUAAAUCAGGAGCCAAGUACCAAGUGUCAGGAUCAGGAUCCAGAAAGGCAGGAUACAGCAGAGACACUAAAACCAGGACCAUGGUAAAAGUGAGACACUGGAGAAAGAAACCAAAGAGAACACUGUAACCGGGAGCCUAGCUAAUCUUGCAGUUGGAUUGAGAGGCAAACUGGGUGAUUUUUCCACUGGCUGACCUUUUAGAAGUUCCAGACAUGUUCUCCCAAAGGCACUAAGUUCUGGGUCCCAGAGAAGUGGGCUCAUGGCACGGCUGAUCUCAGAGUUGGUGCUUGUGCAGCUCCUGACACAAGGUGCCCCUCUAAAUGAAGAGCCAAGGAGCACACGUUUAUCGAAGGUCUACUUUGCGCCCCUUGUGGCAACACUCAUACUUGGAGGCAGAGGCUACCAUCAGAAUAUAAAUUUUAUCCUCAGGAAGAUGAGAAGACAACUGGCUUAGAAACUAGCUUAGAACAUUUCCAAGUUUGACACAGGGCCAGGGGCUGUCAAGCCUCAACCACAAUGCAAUCAACCACCAGCUCUAUUCCACAGGCGCAUGUCCAGGUCGGCUAAUAAAUGGAAAAGCCAGGAUUAAGAUUCAAGUUUCGUCCGGUCACGGUGGCUCACUCCUGUAAUCCCAGCACCUUGGGAGGCCAAGGCGGGCAGAUCAUGAGGUCAAGAAAUCGAGAUCAUCCUGGCCAACAUGGUGAAACCCCGUCUCUACUAAAAAUAUAAAAAUUAGCUGGGCACAGUGGUGCACGCCUGUAAUCCCAGCUACUUGGGAGGCAGAAGCAGGAGAAUCGCUUGAACCUGGGAGGUGGAGGUUGCAGUGAGCCGAGAUCUCGCCACUGCACUUCAGUCUGGGUGACAGAAUGAGACUCCGUCUCAAAAAAAAAAAAAAAAAAGAUUCAAGUUUCUUAGCCUGGGCAACAACGACGACAAAAAAUUCGGAGCUUAUGGUGGUGCAGGCCUGUAGUCCUAGCUACUCAGCAGGCUGUGGCAGGGGGUGUCACUUGGAGGCUGCAGUGAGCUAUGAUUGCACCACUGCACUCCAGCCUGGGCCACAGAGCAAGAUUCCGUUUCAGAAAAAAAAUAAAUAAAUUUGGGCCGGUCUCGGUGGCUCACGCCUGUAAUCCCAGCACUUUGGGAGACUGAGGCCGGUGGAUCACCUGAGAUCGGGAGUUCGAGGCCAGUCUGACCAACAUGGAGAAAUCCCCGUCUCUACUAAAAAUACAAAAUUAGCUAGGUGUGGUGGCGUAUGCCUGUAGUCCCAGCUACUCAAGAGGCUGAGGCUUGAACCCGGGAGGCAGAGGUUGCGGUGAGCCAAAAUCGCGCCAUUGCACUCCAGCCUGGGCAACAAGAGCGAAACUCCGUCUCAAAAAAAUAAAAUAAAUAAAAUAAAUAAAUUUUAUCAAUCAUGGUGGUGUUUUUUGUUGUUGUUGUUGCUGUUUGACAGGGUCUUAAAAAUAAAUAAUUUAAGUAAAUAAAAAUAAAUAAUU